GGUUGCCUACCUCUGGGUUUGAGUAUUAGACUACAACUCUGGAGAUCAGGGUUCAAUUCCCUGCUCAGACA